AAGGGCUGGGUGCGGCCCACCUGGAGCUGGACUGGAGGCUGUGUUGGGUGGGGCGGUGUGACCUGGAGGUGGGCUGCCCCCUCAGGAGACAGCUUCACCCCUGUCAGUGGACCUCAUCCUUCCUUCCUUCCACUCGCAUGGACAGCACAUCUGUGUGUACACAGGGUCACCGAGAGAGGCCAAGGAGGGUGAGGAGGAAGAUCCCAGGUGUGGGGGGAGUCCUGGGGGAGCAGACAGCAGGGACAGAAGCCUGUGGCAGGAAGGAAGGUCUUGGCCUGUGUUCUCCCAGCAAGGGUCCCCUUGGACUUGGAAUUCUAUAGGCUCCUGGCCCCCCCAUCUCUCCCGUGGUCUGCAGGACCUCGACACAGAGCUGUGGCUGGUGUCUCGGGGCAGACAUGGGGCUGAGCAGACCCCAUGGAACACUAUUAUCCAGUGUGGGGGGCCUCAUGGAGGUUCCCUGGGCACUUACUUUCACUUGCCUUCUGCCCCCCACUCCUCUCCCCUCCCAUCCUCACCCCCAGAGUGGUUUUUGGGAGCCCGGCAGCUAUCAGGAGCCAUGUGCACCCCUGGACACCUCCCUCCCUCGCAGAGGGUCCUGGUUCAUCUCGUCUGUUGCCUCUUAGAACAGUGGCCUCUACCUCGCCAGGUCCUUCAGAAGCGCCCCCCUCCCUGCCCCGCCACUGUUUUCCCAACAGCACCCGCCGUGGUCUGAAGACACUUUCUUCUGCUCCUGUUUAUUGUUUAUCUCCCCGAAGCACAAGCAGUCGAGUUAAGACAGGAGCCUCGUUCAAAGUUCCGCCCGGGGCCAGGCACAGCGCAGGCUCUCAGAGGAGGGACCAGGAGUCCACAGGCUGCGGCGGCGCGAGACAAAAGUCGGAAGACAGGACCCCGCUGAGGAGUGAGGAGACAGCGGCCAGCCCUCCGCCAGACCCUUCCGCCUGGUGCCUUUACUGGACUCUGAGGAGGAAUUUGGUGGUUCAGUCGGCCCAUCAGUGGACACCAUGAAAACAAAGAGAAAACAGACACACACAGAUGCACACAUAGAUACACACAGAUGAUACACACAGACACAGAUAUAUAGACACACACAGAUACACGUGGACACAGAUACACACAUAGACACAGAUAUAUAGACACACACAGAUACACACAUGUGGACACAAAGAAACACACACAGAGACACACAGACAUACCCAUAGUUACGGAUAUAUGCAUGGAUACACAAUACACAGACACACAGAUGAUACAUGCAUAGACAGAUACAUGGACACACACACACGGACACACAGAUACACACAUAGACACAUGGACAGACACAGAUACAGACACAGGCACAUGUAGACACACAUGGACAUACAAUACUCAGAUGAACACACAGAUAAUAUACACAUAGACACAGAUCUAUAGAUACACAAACACAUACACACAGAUAUACAUAGAUGCACACAGACAGAGAUACACAUGUCAUCACACAUGGACAGACACACACACCAAUACACACAGACAUGCAAAGACACAGGUACACAGACACAUAUACACACAGACACACAUAUAUACACACAGACGCAGAUAUACACACAGACAUACACACACACACAUAGACACAGAUAUACACAGAUACAUGGACAGAUACACAUUCACAUACACACAUAGAUACACAGAAACACAGACACACAGACACAUAGAGACACACACACAGCCACACAGGCCCUGAGCCUCCCUGGGCCCUCCCUUGUGCAGAGGCGGAGGGGUUGGCUGUCGGGGAGGGCACCUGGAGAGGACACACAGCCCCAUCAGAGACCAGGGAGUGGCUCUGGGAGCUCUUUUCAUCCAAAGGGGCUGGAGCUCCAGUUAGCCAAGGUGAGGGCGUGGAGGAUUCCUGGGGGAAGCUUCGUGCUGCAAGGUGGAAAAGACAGAUAACAAGAGAAAAACAGAAGCUUAAUAGCAUGUAUACCUUGGUCUGCACAGGACGGACUCAGGGGACAGGCUAUGUCUCAAAGACGUGGCUUGGAGCUCAGCCUUAAAGACCACGUUCGACGGAAACAAAGAGAAAGAGUGUGUGGGGAACGGCCCAAGAAAUUACCCCAAACUGGGGUCAGGCCUUCUCCGUGGAUGAGCGUCUCCGGUGACUUACAGGCGGCCUUCUGGCCCAGAGAGGGGGCACCCUGGUGAGCGCAGAUGCCUGUACGGAUGUGACUUUCUCUCACAGAACAGCAGCUUCCACUCUUGUUUUCAGAAUUUCUCCUGUGGUUGCAGUUUCUCAAAAUAAGCAGCUCAAAAUAAUGCUUAUGCCAAAGAGGCAUAUUUUGGGGUGGCAUAUUCUGGUCUGCUCUACGUGGAAGCGGACAGAAAAAUGGGGCAGAGGCCGGGGAGGGGAGCGGGACCGACUUCCAGUUCCCAGACCCGAGCAAGGGAACCUGAGGCUGAGCUCUGGACCGUGGGGUCUGGAGGGGUUCUCUGAGGACACUCUGGGAGUGGGGGGAACAGCUCCCUCCUCAGGUUUCCCCCAAGGGAUCCUGCCUGGGGAGACCUGGACUGGACAAGGCUUGGCAGCUGCCCUGCCAGGAGGAGGGAGACAGGGCUGCAGUGGGGGGGUGCAGGGUCGCUGGGGUCCCACCCGGGGGUGCUGGGACUGGCCAGAGGACACACUGCGAUUUCCCAGUGGGCCAGGAAGGAAGGAGGCGCUUUCCAGGCAGAGCAUGACCCCGCACAGGAGGCAGAGACAGAGUCUCUGAGUGUCCCCGUCAGGUCCCUGGGACUGUGGCAGGGGAAGAAGCCGCAGUACCUCCUGCCCUUUAGGACAGGAGAGGUUGUCAUCCCAGCAUUGCCCAGCAGCUGGCUGGAGCCCAGGGCUCCUCAGAUGAGCCAGCGCCUGAGCCCUGAGCUGCCAGCUGGCCUGGCUGGAGCCUCCACUGAUCUUCCCAGGAGAAAGAGGCCGCUGUGCGUAAGUAGCCAGGUGUAAGAGGAAGCGUAGAGCCGUGUCGCUCGUGCAAGAAGGGGAAAGAAGGAAGCCUGUCUGCAUGGCUGCGCAGGGGAUAUUGGAACAGAACUGAAGGAACUCAUGCAACGCUCAUCUGUGAAGGGGGCACCGCGAUGUAUGGACAAGGGUGGGAAAGGGAUGCUGGGCCAUAAAGUUUGGGCUGCGUGAUGGCGUGGAGGAGAAAGCCCUCCUGGGAGCUGUGGCCAGGGGGUGUGCAGUCCACGAGCAGAUGGAGCUUUAUGUGCCUCCCACCUCCUCCCAGGGGCCCCCCACGACUCGCUGAGGCCCCAUCAGCAACAGGAUGACGGGUUUUCUUUCCCACACAGAUUGGGGACGUCCCAGCCUCCUGGGGUGGGGCAGAGGCGGGCACCGCAGCCCAAGAGCUGGCUUUCCCCCUGCACCUCCACCCAUGCGUUGGCCUGGAGUGGCCCAGCAGAGGGUCCAGGUGGGGGUGCUGGAGGGGCCCACCCAGCUCAGGCCUGGCACCUGCACCUUUCUGGAUCCCACGAUGUUUUGCUGAGGGUUACUCAUCCAAGGCCUGCCCGGAGGCUCCGAGCUGUUUACCACAGGCCAGCUCUGGCCGUAGGCUAUUCUGGGAGCCUGGGGGGGCUGGGAGGAGGCUGGGGCUCUGGGUGGCAGGAGGAGGAGAGCCGUCUUGUCCUUACUGAGCAUCCAGCGGGCGCCAGAUGCUGCGCCGCGUGCAAUUCUAAUCCUGGCCGGCAAAGCCAGAACGGGACAAUAUUCCUUCCUCCCCUGGCCUCCCGCUUGGCUGCGGGUGCUGACGGUCAAUGGGCCUGGCUAUCGGGGCUCACAGGGGAGCCGGGAGAGCCGCCAGCAGGAGAAAAUGUGAGCUCUGCAUCUGCUGGGCUGGGUUCGAGGGACGCGGGGUGGCUGGGGAGGGUCGUGCUGGUCCCUCUGGCUGCUGUCGCUGGCCGGCCGGCCAGUCCGCCCCAGCGCUGGACUCCUGGGCUAUCCGUUCCCCACCCACCGUCUGAGGGUCUUUGAAAAUAGAACUCACUUGUUUUCAUUAAAAGCAACAGAUCAAGAAGCCGAAAACACAAGAAUAAAACAAUGUAAAAGCUUGA